AAGCGGAAUUCCCACGUGUAGGCGGUUAAAAUGCGUAGAGAUGUGGAGGAACACCCAGUGGGCGAAAGGGCGGCUUUUUUGGUCUGUAACUGACGCUGAGGCGCGAAAAGCGUGGGGGAGCAAACAGGAAUUAGAUACCCUGGUAGUCCACGCCGUAAAACGAUGAGUGCUAAGUGUUAGAGGGUUUCCGCCCUUUAGUGCUGCAGCUAACGCAUUAAGCACUCCGCCUGGGGAGUACGGUCGCAAGACUGAAACUCAAAGGAAUUGACGGGGGCCCGCACAAGCGGUGGAGCAUGUGGUUUAAUUCGAAGCAACGCGAAGAACCUUACCAGGUCUUGACAUCCUCUGACAACUCUAGAGAUAGAGCGUUCCCCUUCGGGGGACAGAGUGACAGGUGGUGCAUGGUUGUCGUCAGCUCGUGUCGUGAGAUGUUGGGUUAAGUCCCGCAACGAGCGCAACCCUUGAUCUUAGUUGCCAGCAUUUAGUUGGGCACUCUAAGGUGACUGCCGGUGACAAACCGGAGGAAGGUGGGGAUGACGUCAAAUCAUCAUGCCCCUUAUGACCUGGGCUACACACGUGCUACAAUGGAUGGUACAAAGGGCUGCAAGACCGCGAGGUCAACCCAAUCCCAUAAAACCAUUCUCAGUUCGGAUUGUAGGCUGCAACUC
rnacentral:rRNA from 1 species